ACCCCUUGGACUGCAGCCUACCAGGCUCCUCCGUCCAUGGGAUUUUCUAGGCAAGAGUACUGGAGUGGGGUGCCAUUGCCUUCUCCAGCAGAGGUGAAUAGCUAUUGUUAAAAGCUGAUUAAAAGAGAAAUAGAGAUCUAACCCUGUUAGAAUUAAAAUAAGCACAGAAGUCCAAAGAGGCAUAUCUGAAGCAGCAGGUGAUUAAGAAGGGGAAUUACUUGGAGUAAACCAAGGACUGCUUAGAUCACCUCUUGUCAUCAAUGUGAUGAGCAGGAGAUGGAAUCUUACCAGCUGGUUAGCCCAGCCUUAGAUGGCACUGAAUGUGGGCCAGGCUGGCCAGGAACUAUCUGAGUUAAUCUUUGUGAACUGAAUCCCAGCAAUGGGAACUGGAAACUCAGGUUUCUCUCUACCCAGCUAUGGAAUUUUGGUUCUCAUGCACCAUUUACAUUUUGCCUUCUCACUCCAUGUACCACCGGUUUUACCAACAACUGUUGUAGGUGACUUUGCUCUGGGAAGAAACUCCUAGAAAGGGUGGAAUUUCUCUUUUUAUUACACACUUUAUUCCAAACAACGUGUAAAUCGGGGCUAAGGCAAUAGUCUCAAGGCAGACAGACAGUUUGCCUCUGAUGACAACAUCGCAGCAGGGCGUUGCAAUCUGCUGAAUUCAGAGUAAGCUCACAGCACUGGCUGUGGCCCUGGGCAGCCUGAAGCAGCAGAGACAGGUGGGCAGGGUACCUACCUCAUGGCUCAGAGGAAACUAUUGACUGGAAAGUGUUUUCCCUUUGUUCUUCUCAGUUGCUUUUAACUGGGUGAAAUGCUGCUCCCACGGGAUUUCUAAGUCUGAUAGCCUUAAGCUAGUUUUGGCCAGAUGACUUUUAUGGACAGUUGUCUUUACUUUGUGAAAAUGGAAGCAGCAAUAAGAAUUAUAGGAAUUUAUGGGUUUUAGCAGUUGUUUAAUUUUUUUUAUAGAAUGCAUUUGCAGGAGACUAAUGUUUAGGGGUGGCUGAAACACUCAGAGAGCCUCAAAAGCUUUAUGGUAUGUUGAGAUAGAGAAUUUUCAAAUGUGCCCAGUUUCUAAGUUCUCUGAAGCCCUUCUGAGACCUUUCCUUAGAAGAACACUUGGCCCCUGUAAACAUGUUUACUAUGUGUCUUCUAUCAUUUGCAAUGUUGGUUCUAAUACUACAUCAGGAAAUGGGAUUCUGGGGUACAGAAGUAAUACAGAAGGGCCUCUAUGAAUUUGAGAGUCAUCUAUUCAGCUUAAUCAAGUGGGAAGUUAAAUCUAUGGUCUAUAUAGUUUAGUAAUAAAAGAAACAAUAUUUCUCCAAUUCACCGAGUUCUUGCCUUGGCAGACAAUUUUCCUCAAGUCCUUGGCAGGAUAUACCCAACACUAAGAACUUAUAAAUUCUCCAGCAGGGGAAGACGGUUCCCGAUAAAGGGUCUUGUUGGCCACCACCUCAUGGACACUUUUUGAAUUCCUCAUUGUAAGGGCCUUGGAACGUAUUGGACUACGUGUCACCAUUUUCCUAAAUAUUGAUUAGUUUUCUCUCAUUUUGAUGCAGUGGAUGAAGAUGAGGUUGGGAAUUGCUACCCAGCAUCACUGAGCCUGGGCUCCAUGUGGGUCCAUCUUCAUCUCCCCUUGCUUUUCUUCUACUUCCUUUGUGACUAGCUCAUCUGUAGAAAUCCUUCCAUGUCCUUCGGUAGACUUGGCACCAAGCAAGGCAGAAAUUUUGAAGCUCUCCAGCAACAGAGACCCAGACUGUCACCCGGGAAGCCGCACCUGGACUGGACCCAUUUGUACCAAUGGCCCUGGGUCCUGCACUAUCCGCACAGCCCUAAAAAUAGCUCUCAAUUAACAUUGCAUUUCAAGAAUUGGAAAAUUUCCCAGAAGUCCAUUCUUUUCUCUUUUUUCUAUUUCAUUACAUUUUGCAGUAAUAAUACACAAGCCUGCAGAAAACAUGACGGGUAAUGAAAAAAUGUAAUUAAUAUAAGCAGUGUAAAGCGUGUUUUUUUCUCUGUUGUCCUUGCAGAAAAUUGCUGCUUUAAACCAAGCAGGAUGUGAAAAUACAUAAAAACCCCCUUUAAUCUGCCAUGGUUUGUAAAUAUCUUAUGCAAAACGGUUAAGUCAACUGUCAGAUUUUUUUAACAUAAGUCACAUAUUCUUGUAAAAAAGUUUUUUUUUUCUCUUGCAGGACAAAUUAAGUGAUUUGGAUAAUUCCUUUUGAGCAGGUGAGGAUUUUCCACAAUAAACCUGAAAACAAGAAGAAUCUGAUUUGUGGAUGGCAACUCUGUCCAUCGGGUUUAUCUAAACAGCAGUUCAGUGUGCUGCCUCUGCGAACACUCAACUUUGGUUCAGUACUUAGGAGAAAAUUGUUAAGUUUUGAAUUCCAAGUUCAGUGGAAGAAGAAGCAGAUGAUUUUCCCAUUUUAGUGACCCCGUGGUUAGCAGCAAUAAAGCAACAGGAACAAAUCUGGCUUGAAACGUGUCCAAACCCACAUUUCCCAGUGAGCACAAAAGGCAAAAAAGUAAGAUGUGCAGCGGAUAUUAACAUGAGUAAUCUUGGAAAUCUAAAUAUUAAACAUAUGUCAAAGAUUAUCAAAUGCACAUCCACAUGUCUUAUAGAGAUGUCUUUCAUCCGAGGAGCUCCAGCCCAUUUCAUUGUGCAUAAGCUAGUUCUCUAGCCUCAUCAAAGUUUGGUGUAUCCAGUGACAACGGCACCAGUUUUUCAUAGAUGGGUGCUGUGAAGCAAUAACUCCUCAGCUCCUGCCCCUUCCUGAAAGAUAGUCUUCUUAACCUCUACCCCCAUCAGGAGAUGAAAGAAGUGAAAAUGUUAGUUGCUCAGUUAUGUUUGCAUGUUUGUGACCGCAUGGACUGUAGCCCACCAGGCUCCUCUGUCUUUGGGAUUUCCCAGGCUAGAAUACUGGAUUGGGUUGCCAUUUCCUCAUCCAGGGGAUCUUCCUCACCCAGGGAUCGAACCUGGGUCUCCCGCAUUGCAGGCAGAUUCUUUCACCUGAAGAUAAUGUCAUUUAAAUCCAGGUUGAUUAUUUGCCCAGUGAGCUGCACAGUUUGGGAAAUUUCCUGGAGUCUUUGAUUUGUGUUCUGAUGCUGAAGUCUAUAGAACCCCACCCUCAACUCCAUCUACAGGUCUUGUAUCAUAGUGAUCCAGAGAAGAAUGUUCCAGACCCUGAGAAAUGUAUUAUCUUAUCUCCUGGACACUGUGUAAGAAGCCUGUGACAAUUCCUCCUGUCCAUUGGUGACAUGUGCUUACAGUACUUGGCAUCUUUUUGCCUCCAAACCUUAAUCUGCGGGAUAAUUGAAGCUAUACUUUGGAAAUACCUAAGGGAGUAACAUUAUAAUCGGGAGCUAGCCUAGUUUUUUCUGGGUGUAUACCAGCUGUUGAACAAUAUUAUUUAAAAAAUCUCUUGGUGCAGCAUGAUCUUACUUUUUCUUAGCCUCAUUUUUGUCAUCUGUAAAUUGUAAAAGAAAAGCUGACUCUCAACAUUUCUCAAUGAGAUCAUGUUUAUGAGAAGACUUUGUAAACUCUAGACCUUUAUACAAAUGUGGGAUAGUAUCAUUACCUUAAAGGAACAUCUCCUAGAAAGAGGCCCCCUCCCACCCUGCCCCAGGGAUAACUGGUGCACUGAAAUCCAAUUUCGUUUCCACAUCCAUUCAUCCUUGGCAAAAUGUCAUAGUCCUCAUUAUGAAGCUACCUGUGUGGCCCUAUGCAUAUGGCUUAGUAGGCAGGCUGAGUGAGGCGGAGAGUAAAUACUUACCUCUGCGCUACUUUUCUCAGGGAGUCUGGCACUGAGCGGGUAUUCAACAAACACGUUCUGAAUUGUGUGGAGGUAAAAUGACUUGGGAAUGAACAAGGUGAAAGAAUACAAGAUAAAGCGCCAGUUUGGUUGAACCUCUCCAGGCAGUGUCUGGGGCACUGCAAGGAGACAGGUUGCUGGAGAACAAGAGAGAAGAACCAGAUGUGAUCUUGGAGGCUGAGAGUGCCCAGAGUGGUCACAGCGGGGGCACAGCCCUCUGGCCCCUCCCUCCUCCUCCUGAUAACUUCUCUCACCUGCUCCUUCUAUCUUCUAUCACCUGGAGAAGGAGCUGCUGAGUCUUUUCUUGCCUGUGGCGUAUAGGAUUUUCCUCAUUCUGUGAGGUAGAGGAAGCUGAAAUUCUCUGGGGAAUAGCAUGGCUUCUCCAGUUCUGUUCUUUAGGGAAUUUGCAGGAGCUAUGGAAGACAACUGGCAGACUAUCUCUUGAUGGCAAUGUAGAGGGGAGGGGAAGGGAUGUCAUUUUAGGGAAAGAUCUGAAAUAUGUCAACAUGCACUUUUGGGUGGAAGAUUUCUUACUGAAUUUGUUCUUAAACUGAAGUGUCUGUUUUGGUCAUUAAAAUAACACAUCACUUAUGAUAAAAAUAAUGAUCUAUUAAUUUAUCUCUUUUGACCCAUUUCCCUGGUGAAUACAGGAUGCACUGACAAUGCCUGCCAAAGAAGGAGAUGUGGGUUCGAUCCCUGGUUUGGGAUGAUCCUCUGGAGGAGGAAAUGGUAUUCUUGCCUGGGAAAUCCCAUGGACAGAGGAGCCUGGUAGACUAUAGUCCAUGGUGUCACAGAAGAGUCGGAUACAACUUACUGAUGAAACAACAGCAACAAUGUUCUCCUAGAGCACAUUUUGAGAAAUAAAGUAUAUUCUGAAAUUGUU